AGAUAGAUGUGAAAGUAAGAAGUUGUAUACUCUAGAAAUUGAUCAUUUGAUGUUUGUAUGGAGGAUAUAUUAUCAUGAUUAUCAUGCAAACAUUUGAAAAGUAUUGAUCAAAUCACCUUUUAGGUAGGGAUAUUAAUGUUGUUUGUUUUAAUAUACGGACACUACGAGCUAACAAUGAAAGCAUGACCUCAUUUGGAUGGAAGAGAAAACUUGGAGGUAAGGUGUCGAAGACAUUGUCAAAGAACUUCGAAAAGAACAGCAAGGAUAACC
rnacentral:misc_RNA from 1 species